UUCAUCAACAGCUGAGUUUCAUAAACACUUAGACACUAUUAGAAUGAUUGGUCUGGUAGGUUGCCUGGGCGCUACGGCAGAUUAGGGCCCGGAGAUCAACUCGGAUCCAUCGGAUAAGGAGAUAGAACUCGGUUGAUGAUCCAUAGGUCAUCUUAGAGAGAGAGAAAGAGAUGAGAGAGAAAGAAGAGAGAUGGGAUCAUGCCAGGGGACUUGGAUAGCAGCCAGAGGUGGUGGACGGUCGGCGGCGGAGAUGGGCGAAAAAAGGGGAAAACAAAUCGGAAAACAGGAGGAAGUGAAGUUCGACUGAUUUCCGGUGAAUUUCUUCACCUGUGGCGGUAGUUUGAGGCUGUGGAAGGAAGAGAGAAUAAAAGGGAAGAAGGCCGAGACAUUAACUUGGCUCGGACAGCGUCAACGGCCCUGAUUUCUGGCGAGCACAAUAAUGAGAUGCAGUAAUUUCGAAGUGAGAAAAAAAGAGAGGAGUAUCCUUCAUGCAAG
rnacentral:lncRNA from 1 species